rnacentral:rRNA from 1 species
CAGCAGCCACGGGAAUACGGAGGGCGCGAGCGUUACCCGGAUUUACUGGGCGUAAAGGGCGUGUAGGCGGCCUGGGGCGUCCCAUGUGAAAGGCCACGGCUCAACCGUGGAGGAGCGUGGGGUACGCUCAGGCUAGAGGGUGGGAGAGGGUGGUGGAAUUCCCGGAGUAGCGGUGAAAUGCGCAGAUACCGGGAGGAACGCCGAUGGCGAAGGCAGCCACCUGGUCCACUUCUGACGCUGAGGCGCGAAAGCGUGGGGAGCAAACCGGAUUAGAUACCCCCGUAGUCCCUGUCUCUUAUAC